GGACUACCUGUGCUAAAGAUGAACAAAUGAUUUUAACCAUACAACAAACAAAUGCUGUAAAGAAUGUCUAUAACAAGUUAAACAUUCUUAUGAUCGAAAAAUUUGCCUGGGCCACUCUUAUAGGAGCAAGUGCAGUCUCUGAAACUCGCGGAUAAUGGGUUAACCACUCUAGCCUUCUCCACUUAAAUACCAGACUUAAUUUAUAUGGCAAUUGACAUAAGGUUCAAACAUGUGACCUAAAUUGCAAAUCCCUCAUUCUUUGCCACUUGAAAUAGUCCCUCAAAGAGUACAACUAAUACUUGAUGAGUCACUAUAUUCUUAGAUUUUUUUUAUUAUUAUUAUAAUUAUUCAUUGUAGGUGUUCCCGUCUUGUUGAAGUGUAAAGAAUUAUAUUUCCCAAAUACUCGACAUGAAACACAUCCAACAAAAAAUUUAAAGAGCAAAAUCAGUUACAUAAACUAUAAGUAUUAUAAACAAAAACUAUCAAAGAAAACUUAAGGUAAUAUUGUUGGAAGAGGAUUGCUAUUAAUAUUUGGAGGGAGGCUUUUAGGCUAAGGGAAUUUUG
rnacentral:lncRNA from 1 species